CUUGAGAGGAGACAAGGGGAAAGUCGGAUAUAACUUUAUAGCUUUUAACUAGAGAGAAGAGAGAACUUUAGUGUCUUUGACUUUAGAAAGAGAGAGAAACUGCAGAAUGAAAGUGUAAAGUGAGAAAAAAAAAUUGUGAGAAAGAGAACAGUGCUGAAUGGAUGGAGAAAGAAGUGGAAAGCAAAAAAGAGAAAGUGAAACAGUAAAGAGUACAAAAGAAUUAGGGUGAAAAAAAUGUACAAGUAACUAGCUGAUAUCAGUGCUGGGACCAUUAAUGCAGAAUCUGUGCCUUACACUUCCAAACAAGUAGGGGCUUAUAUAGAGAAAGUGGUUUGCUAAAUGUGCUUUGUCAAGCAAAUUGUACUAAUGGUCAUUGAACCCUAUAUUAAUUCACUGUAGUUGUGAAACUUCAACUAGACAAUUUGGUCUUUGAGCUAAAUUUGUUGCAAUUAGGCUAAUCUCUCAUGAUUUUGGUAAGAAACUUACUAGAAAUCUGGUUUGGCAAUUAAUUUGGGACCCGUUUACUAAAGAAGGAAUGCAAGUAUUUUCAGGAGCCAGAGUUUGUCCUUUGAUUUGUUGUGGGACAGCAGUUUUUUUGGCUUCUUUGUUGGCUUCUGUUUCUGGGGUGUUUAGAGGACUUUCAUUAAGCAUUAUGCAAUUAGAUUGGAGGGCACUGCCUUUUUUGUCUUGCUGGUAUGUGAAUUUGUUAAUGUAGGAGGAUACCAUAUUUUCCAUGUGAUAUUAUCUUUCUUACUAAAAUUUCCUCAUGACUGACAACAAUGAAUUGUUUCCAUUACUAAAUACUUAUGACCGUUCCACAAAUCUCAUUUUCAGGACAUGAGUGUGGGUACAUCAUGGAAUAUACUGAGACCUGAAACAAUUGAGUCGCUCUUUUACCUGUGGCGUUUAACUGGCAACAAGACAUACCAAGAGUGGGGUUGGAAUAUAUUCCAAGCAUUUGAAAAGAACUCACGCAUCGAGACUGGAUAUGUCGGGCUAAAGGAUGUCAAUACCGGUGUCAAAGACGAUAUGAUGCAAAGCUUUUUCCUUGCAGAGACACUGAAAUAUCUGUAUCUUCUCUUCUCACCAUCUUCAGUCAUCUCAUUGGACGAGUGGGUUUUUAACACAGAAGCCCAUCCUCUCAGAAUUGUGACCCGUCAAGACGGAGACACUUCUGGGAAUUCGGAGAAUAAACAAACUAUUAGGACACACAGCAGGAAAGAAGGUCAGUUUACUGAGCAUUAUGUUGACCCCACAAGCUCAAAGGAUCAUAGAUUUUGAUGAUACCAAAAUUCAACUAGAAUCAAACUAACAUUGUUUUAAGUGUUGUGUAUCUCAAAGAAAAAGGACAAAAGGAUUUCAUGAUGGAUUCGUGCUUCUGAAGAAAAGAUGACAUUCUAAGGAUAACACAGGACGAAUCAAAGGAGAUAAAAGAAGAAAAGGUUACCUUCCAAGGCUGCAUUGAAAAAUCAGAUUUGAAGAAAACGACAAAAUAACGGCUAUUUUCUUGAAAUUCGUAUCUGUAACGUUCAAAUGAGUUCUGCAACGGUAAAAAACGUUCCAAAGCUAUAAAUACACCUUCCUUUGGCCAUUUUGCACUCAAUGAAAGUCACUCUACUGUUUAAAAUCAUUAAGCUUUCAUUCGAAGUGCUCAAUGUGUUUUAUUGCUCAUCAUUGGCUUAUUUACUCAACUCUUCUUUAUAGAUUCUGUUGUAUUGAGUGAGAGUGAGUUUUAAACACAUUAUUAUCAUUUAUGAGAGGUCAUUCAAGCACCUAUUGAAGCUUGGUUGUGAAAAGUGUUUGGGAUAACACUUGGUAGAAGUGUGAAGCUACUUGUAAAAGCUUUGGUGAGAAGAUUUGUAAAGGGCUUUUGUCUCUUGCCUUUAAAAGAGAAGAAUAGUGAAGUGAAGACUCAAAGUGGGAUCUUUGAGAGAGUGGAUGUAGGCU
rnacentral:misc_RNA from 1 species